rnacentral:pre_miRNA from 1 species
AGGAGGAACAACCGCAGUGGCGGCGGCAGCUCUGCAGCCCUGGAGUCAGCUCCCUCAGUAGCUCCGGAGCUCUCCGUCUGCAGGGCCUGGAGGCUCCGGGGCGGG